rnacentral:rRNA from 1 species
CCCUUGUAUUAUUUUUGAUUUGACUAAUAUUAAUUUGAAAAUUAAAAAUUUUGGCGGUUAAUAAUAAAUUAGAGGAGCUUGUUUUUGAGGCGAGAAUUUACUCUUUAAAUUUUGAUAUUAAAUUUUGUUUAUUCAUCUCUGUUAUUAAAAAGUAAUUAAAAUAAAAAUUUUUAGUAUUUCAGGUCAAGAUGUUGCAUUUAAUAUAUAGAAUUAGCUACAAUUAUUAUAAUAUUUGAAAAUAUUUUUGUAAUAAAAUAUUGAAAUUGAAUUUAGCGGUAAUAAAAAUUAGUAUUUUAUUAUGAUUUAGAAUUAUUAAUGU